rnacentral:tRNA from 1 species
UGGCUGAGCGGUAAAGCGCUUGGCUUCCGAACCAAGCCCCAGGUUCCAAUCCUGG